rnacentral:misc_RNA from 1 species
UAAUAAGUGUUUUAUGGCACUUUUUAAAUCCAUAUCCACCUUGUGUGCAAUGUUCAGUCGAUCUUCUUCAUGGAGAUCGACCAGACCAUCAACCUUUAUCUUUUAACUCUUUGUCUGAAAAAAUAUUAUGAAUAAACAAUUCAAAAUA